GUGAGCUGAGAUCGUGCCACUGCACUCUGGCCUGGAUGACAAUGAGACUCUGUCUCAAAAAAAAGAAAAAAAAAGAAAAGAAAAUCAACUGGAAGAGGGUAAAAGGAAGCAAAAUCUCUCUGCAACAUUGGGGAGUGAAUUUGCACAAAGGACGUUCCAAAACAUCCAUGAAGUUGACUGGAAAAAAAAAUAGAAAUACAAAUGUAAAGUUUAAAGGAGCCCAUGAACCUAAGGAAACAGAUACUGGGGAUUUUUGAGCUGAAUACAAAACCUCUGAGAAGCAAAAGAAAAAAUAUGUUUGCCAAGAGGCGUCCUUUCCAUAUCUAAAGCAAAACCCACAAAUACCCAUGAGUAAUAUCAUGCAGGUUAUGAAGUUCCUAUGCAAAACCAGCAACAUUUUCAUAAACCAGAAUUGUUGGAACAGUUGCAGAUAUUCAUUUAAAAAAAUCUGACUGUAUAACAGCUCUGAAACGCAAAGCUAGGCCACAAAAGUACAUUUCACCACAUAUGUCAAUUUUCUUGAACCCUCUCACUAUCAGAGUUGCCCAGGUUUUAAAGUUCCAAAGUUAGUAAAGAGACUGUGAAUCAGACACUAAAAUAUGUUCUUCUACUUUGUACUGUAGCAAUGCCAUAUUUAAGAAAAAUAUGAAAAUGAAACCAAAAAGCAAACAAGAUUGUGGAAUUCCCUGACAUUGUAUUAUAUUUUACCAGCAGCCUCUGUAUUACACACUGGAAUAGCUUAAAUGUGUCUUUUUCAAUUAAUUUCCCUUUUUUUCCAGAAGAAUAAAGAAGUACA
rnacentral:lncRNA from 10 species